GCGAGCAGACAAGACUCUCGGGCUGAUUUAUUCCAGUGGGUGUGGAGUCAAGUGCCCAGGAGGUGGGGCAGUCGCUCACACUUUUUGGAGAUUCAGCUCCUUCCUGAGCUGUGCUUUCAGAUCUCCUCUGGCUGAGUGUAUACAAAGUUGACUCAAUUCAAGAAGAAAGCAGAUAAAAAAAGAAGAAAGGGAGAGUAAGUAGAUAUUGGGGGAAGGGAGUGGGAAAGGAAACCUUUAUUGAGAACUGACU